AGGACGAACGCUGGCGGCGUGCUUAACACAUGCAAGUCGGGCGGUAAGGCCUUUCGGGGUACACGAGCGGCGAACGGGUGAGUAACACGUGGGUGAUCUGCCCUGCACUUCGGGAUAAGCCUGGGAAACUGGGUCUAAUACCGGAUAUGACCUCCUAUCGCAUGGUGGGUGGUGGAAAGAUUUAUCGGUGCAGGAUGGGCCCGCGGCCUAUCAGCUUGUUGGUGGGUAAUGGCCUACCGAAGGCGACGACGGGUAGCCGACCUGAGAGGGUGACCGGCCACACUGGGACUGAGACACGGCCCAGACUCCUACGGGA
rnacentral:rRNA from 1 species